CUAUCCUAUUAACGGCGGACUGGUGAGUAACGCUGGGUGACCUACCUAGGGGGAUGGGGAUAGCCGCUAGAAAUAACGGGUAAUACCGAAUACUGUCUACCGGACUAUGGUUUGGUAAAGAAAGGGGCUAAGGCCCCGCCUUAAGAUGGGCCCUGCGUUUCAUUAGCUAGUUGGUGACGGUAAAGGCCCACCAAGGCGAUGAUGGGUAGCCGGCCUGAGAGGGUGAACGGCACACUGGGACUGAGAUACGGCCCAGACUCCUACGGGAGGCAGCAGCUAAGAAUAUUCCGCAAUGGACGAAAGUCUGACGGAGCGACGCCGCGUGUACGAAGAAGGCCGAAAGGUUGUAAAGUACUUUUAUUGCUGAAGAAUAAGCGGGGUAGGGAAUGACCCUGUGAUGACGCUAGGCA
rnacentral:rRNA from 1 species